rnacentral:rRNA from 1 species
GACAUCCUUUGACAACUCUAGAGAUAGAGCUUUCCCCUUCGGGGGACAAAGUGACAGGUGGUGCAUGGUUGUCGUCAGCUCGUGUCGUGAGAUGUUGGGUUAAGUCCCGCAACGAGCGCAACCCUUAAGCUUAGUUGCCAUCAUUAAGUUGGGCACUCUAAGUUGACUGCCGGUGACAAACCGGAGGAAGGUGGGGAUGACGUCAAAUCAUCAUGCCCCUUAUGAUUUGGGCUACACACGUGCUACAAUGGACAAUACAAAGGGCAGCGAAACCGCGAGGUCAAGCAAAUCCCAUAAAGUUGUUCUCAGUUCGGAUUGUAGUCUGCAACUCGACUACAUGAAGCUGGAAUCGCUAGUAAUCGUAGAUCAGCAUGCUACGGUGAAUACGUUCCCGGGUCUUGUACACACCGCCCGUCACACCACGAGAGUUUGUAACACCCGAAGCCGGUGGAGUAACCUUUUAGGAGCUAGCCGUCGAAGGUGGGACAAAUGAUUGGGGUGAAGUCGUAACAAGGUAGCCGUAUCGGAAGGUGCGGCUGGAUCACCUCCUUU